GAUGAAGAACGUAGCGAAAUGCGAUAAGUAAUGUGCAUUGCAGAAUUCAGUGAAUCAUCGAAUCUUUGAACGCACAUUGCGCCCGCCAGUAUUCUGGCGGGCAUGCCUGUUCGAGCGUCAUUUCAACCAUCAAGCCCCAGGCUUGUGUUGGGGACCUGCGGCUGCCGCAGGCCCUGAAAACCAGUGGCGGGCUCGCUGUCACACCGGGCGUAGUAGAUUUUAUCUCGCUCAGGGCGUGCUGCGGGUUCCGGCCGUUAAAAAGCCUUUUUUACCCAAGGUUGACCUCGGAUCAGGUAGGAAGACCCGCUGAACUUAAGCAUAUCAAUAAGCGGAGGA
rnacentral:misc_RNA from 1 species